ensembl:lncRNA
ACCGUAAUCACCAAUAGAGAGGUGGAUCUUCCUUGGGGGAGGAGCGGCCCAUCUGACCACCGACCCUACAACAUGCCAUAGAAUGCUUGCUCCACAGGGGAGACUGCCUCUGUCAUUCUGCAGGAAAUGCACUCAAAGCUUCAGAAAAAUUAAUGAAGGCGGCUGGGACGAGACCCUGUGUGUACUUGGCCAAGGGGUCAUGGAGGGCAGUGGGCUGUUUCCUCAGGCUACCAGUGAAGAGAAGGCACAAACUUUCUGGGCACCACCUCUCCACAUGACAUUCUCAUCAGUGAUAAGCUUGUGAGAAGGAGAAUCAUGGACCACCAGGGCUGGGACACAGAGCUGAGAUGAAACCAUUUCACUUUUCCAGUGAGCAAACCAAAAGUUCAGAAGUGUCACAUAAGGGGCAAAAUCAGAGCCAUUUCCUGCUGGUUUUCAUCUUCAGCCCUGAUUGCAGCUCAGAACUUGCUUGCAUUUCUCCCAGGUCUCAUUGUCCGUGUAUCAGGUGUCACUCAUCCUCAUUGGUGGUCUCCAAUUCUCUUCCGCUCAAUGUCAGACAGGUGGAAGGUGUGGCAAUGAGAACCAGAUAACUUCUGCCCCAGAGUUAAUGAUGAUGGCAGAGAAAGAGAAAACUUUGAGCCAGAGGGCACUUGAGUCUAGCUUUCCCCUUCAUUUAUAAGUGGGUUUCCUGCUGACCUAGUGUUUCCCCAUCACUUUUCUCAUUCUCUUCUUUGGACCUCUGGUGGACAAUAUUGAGAAUUAUCGUAUUCCUAUAGCUCAGAUGGUAAAGAAUCUGACUUCCCUGUAGCUCAGAUGGUAAAGAAACUGCCUGCAAUGCUGGAGACCCAGGCAAUCCUUCUAAUGGAUUUACCACGUGUCCUUGGAUAUCCAUGUGUCCUUGAAGAAUUUAGCAUUGCUUUGUGCGAUGUCAGCCCACAAGGCUCCCCCGACCCUGGGAUUCUCCAGGCAAGAACACUGGAGUGGGUUGCCAUUCCCUUCUCCAAUGCAGGAAAGUGAGAAGUGAGAGUGAAGUCACUCAGUCGUGUCCGACUCUUAGCAACCCCACGGACUGCAGCCCAGGACUGCAGCCCACCAGGCUCCUCCGUCCAUGGGAUUUUCCAGGCAAGAGCACUGGAGUGGGUUGCCAUUGCCUUCUCCAAGUAUUGCACUAAGUUCUCCUUUUUUUCCCUUCACUUUAUGCUUCCUUAUUAAGAUCUAUCAAUACUUCUGGAUACAAAUCUAGUUUAUUACUUCAAACUGCUAUGUAUUAUGUGGGAUGUAUCAUAACAUUUUACUUAUCCAUUAUUUCCGGUGAUGGACAUCUAGGUUGCUACCAGUCCUGUUUACCAUAAGUAAUGUUGCAUUGAACAUUCUCAGAUGUAUCUUUCUUAGAC